CCUACGGGUGGCUGCAGUGGGGAAUAUUGCGCAAUGGGCGAAAGCCUGACGCAGCGACGCCGCGUGAGGGAUGAAGGUCUUCGGAUCGUAAACCUCUGUCAGCAGGGAAGAACGGUCACUGUGCUAAUCAGCAGUGAAUUGACGGUACCUGCAAAGGAAGCACCGGCUAACUCCGUGCCAGCAGCCGCGGUAAUACGGAGGGUGCGAGCCUUAAUCGGAAUUAAUGGGGGUAAAGCGCGCGUAGGCUGUAUUUUAAGUCAAGGGGGAAAUCCCCGCGCCUAACGUGGGAACUGCCUUUGAAACUGGCAAACUGGAGUGUGUGAGAGGAUAGUGGAAUGCCAGGUGUAGCAGUGAAAUCCGUAGAUAUCUCGAGGAACAUCAGUGGCGAAGGCGACUAUCUGGCACAUAACUGACGCUGAGGAGCGAAAGCGUGGGUAGCAAACAGGAUUAGAUACCCGUGUAGUU
rnacentral:rRNA from 1 species